rnacentral:rRNA from 1 species
GACGAACGCUGGCGGCGUGCUUAACACAUGCAAGUCGAACGGAAAGGCCCCUUCGGGGGUACUCGGGUGGCGAACGGGUGAGUAACACGUGAGUAACCUGCCCUUGACUUCGGGAUAACUUCAGGAAACUGGGGCUAAUACCGGAUAGGAAUCCUUGCUGCAUGGUGGGGGUUGGAAAGCUUCGGCGGUUUUGGAUGGACUCGCGGCUUAUCAGCUUGUUGGUGGGGUAGUGGCUUACCAAGGCCUUGACGGGUAGCCGGCCUGAGAGGGCGACCGGCCACAUUGGGACUGAGAUACGGCCCAGACUCCUACGGGAGGCAGCAGUGGGGAAUAUUGCACAAUGGGCGGAAGCCUGAUGCAGCAACGCCGCGUGCGGGAUGACGGCCUUCGGGUUGUAAACCGCUUUCAGCAGGGGCGAAGCUUGUGGUGACGGUACCUGCAGAAGAAGCACCGGCUAACUACGUG